rnacentral:rRNA from 1 species
CGACGUGAGGAACCUGCCUUUCAGAGGGGGACAACAGUUGGAAACGACUGCUAAUACCGCAUAAUACGCGGGUGUCGCAUGGCAUCUGCGUCAAAGAUUUAUCGCUGAGAGAUGGCCUCGCGUCUGAUUAGCUAGUUGGUGAGGUAACGGCCCACCAAGGCGACGAUCAGUAGCCGGACUGAGAGGUUGGCCGGCCACAUUGGGACUGAGAUACGGCCCAGACUCCUACGGGAGGCAGCAG